rnacentral:rRNA from 1 species
UACGGGGGGUGCGAGCGUUGUCCGGAAUCACUGGGCGUAAAGGGCGCGUAGGUGGUUUGAUAAGGGUGUGGUGAAAGUCCGGAGCUCAACUCCGGAUCUGCCGUGCCGACUGUCAAACUCGAGGGCUGUAGAGGCAGACGGAAUUCCGGGUGUAGCGGUGGAAUGCGUAGAGAUCCGGAGGAAGACCGGUGGCGAAGGCGGCGACCUGGUCCUUGACUGGACGCUGAGGCGCGAAAGCGUGGGGAGCAAACAGGAUUGAGAU